UACGGGGGGGGCAAGCGUUGUUCGGAAUUACUGGGCGUAAAGCGCACGUAGGUGGCGACGUAAGUCGGGUGUGAAAGCCCCGGGCUCAACCUGGGAAUUGCAUUCGAGACUGCAUUGCUGGAGUACGGAAGAGGAAGGCGGAAUUCCCGGUGUAGCGGUGAAAUGCGUAGAUAUCGUAAGGAAGACCAGUGGCGAAGGCGGGUCUCUGGACAGUUCCUGACGCUGAGGCACGAAAGCCAGGGGAGCGAACGGG
rnacentral:rRNA from 1 species